GUGGCCCGUACAUUCUUCUCCACCAACAACAAGUAAUGACAAAAUUGCAUUACAAAAAUGGUUGCAGUCCGCUUCUGAGAUCCGAUUGGUCAAAUAAAUAUUACCAGAAUCUGGCUUUUCUUCUCGACGCGUCUUUUCCAUUGAUCAAUGGAAGCAACAGCUUUCUGAAGAAUAAAAUUCCAUUUUCUGAUGGAAGAGCCGGGGAUGAUUCCAUCUUUACCCUCCAACUAUGUCACUAUUCUUGAUCUUCGAGAACGGUGGCUCAAAGAAAAUGAGCGAAACCAGAAAGAAAAGGAAGAAGAAGAACAGAGUCCGCCGGAACAGGCGCAAGAACAGAAGGUUGAACGGAGUAAACCUGAGGAGAAGCAUGAUCGGAAGUUGGAUGAUGGUGAGGCAGUGAUUCAAAAGCCUCGACUCCGUACUACUUCUUGGAGCAACAAAAGGAGCGGGCAAUUUCGGAUGGUUUAUCGAGUUGUGCCGGCGAGUAAUCCGCGGAAUGUGAACGAGAGGUGCAAGAAGACUGAAACUGAAGGUGUAACUGAACCUCGAAUCCGGAGGGAUGAGAAGGAAAAGAAGGCUAAGAGGAAGGGUCACAAGAAGAACCCUAAAGCAAAGAAUGAGAAGGUGGAUAGAACAUCACGAACACCUGAGGAGAACUCGAAGGAGGAAAUGCGAGAAACGGAAUGCGAGCUUGGGGUGCAGAACGGGAAGGAUAUUGUGAACGAGAGGUGCAAGAAGACUGAAGCUGAAGGUAAAACUGAAUCUCUGUUGGCUAAACCUCGAAAUGCGGAGAAUAAGAAAUCUAGGAGGAAGGGUCGCAAAGAGAACCCUAGAGCAAAGAAUGAAGAGAUCGAUAGAACGUUACGAACACCUGAGGAGAGCUUGAAGGAGGAAAUGCCAGAAACGAAAUGCGAGCUUGCGGUGCAGAACGGGAAGAAAAAUGUUAGGGCAGAAAGAAUGGAUGAAAAGAAGGGGAUUGGGGGUCAAUGUGAACCUGAAGAAAUUGAUAAUAUGCAUGAGAUGAAGGAGAUGGAAACCAAAUUAAGUAGUAUUUCGGUGAUCUUUGAAAUUAAAAGGAGGAGGAAUAAUAGUGUUUACAGAGGCAGUAGUCAAGGUAAGCAGAACUUCAGACAUCAUCAGAAUCUUCAUCGUUGGGGUCCCCAUAAACAGAGGAAUGUUGGAAUGAUUUGGGUGAGGAAAGACGAGCUUUCAGAAUGUGCUACCUGUUGAUGAAUCUGGGGUUGUCCUAAAUCACAAGAAGAUAGUUAAUCUGUUUAAAAAAUGUGGGGUGGGGAUCAACCAUUCAACAUUCAGAGAAUCAAUUGAGUUAUGCUCAUGUUGGAAGUUUUAGAAAGUGAGAUAGAGAUCGAUGACUGCUGUGAACAAAAAGAUUGAAUAAUAGACGAUACUUUGUAUAUAGUGGGGCUGCAGGUUAACUGUAGAUGAGAUGGUGAAUUGGUGAUAUCUAGAUGAGAGAUCCAGUACUUCAGUAGAUAUAGUACAGAAGAACUUGAAAAAUCUGAUCAAAAGAACACACUCAUACUCAUACUUUGGUAUAUAAUUGUGUUGAUAUUUGAACCAUUUGGUUUGAGAGAGAUAUGAUUAGAACUCGGAAGUCUUCGGAAUUUGAUGGAGUUCUAUAGUAAGCAUAUUAUGGCCCAUUUUAUGCCAUUUCUUAU